UCGAAUCGCAUGGCCUUGUGCUGGCGAUAGGUCAUUCAAAUUUCUGCCCUAUCAGCUUUCGAUUGUAGUGUAGUGGACUACAAUGGCUUUAACGGGUAACGGGGAAUUAGGGUUCGAUUCCGGAGAGGGAGCCUGAGAAACGGCUACCACUUCUAAGGAAGGCAGCAGGCGCGUAAAUUACCCAAUCCUGACACAGGGGGGUAGUGACAAUAAAUAACAAUACCGGUCCUUUUUCUGGUCUGGUAAUUGGAAUGAGCACAAUUUAAAUCCCUUAGCGAGGAUCCAUUGGAGGGCAAGUCUGGUGCCAGCAGCCGCGGUAACACCAGCUCCAAUAGCGUAUAUUAAAGUUGUUGCAGUUAAAAAGCUCGUAGUUGGAUAUCUGGCAAUUACACCUGACCCGCGGUUAUGCCGUGCUGUGUCGGUUGUUGUUUUUGCCAUCCUUUCAGAUUUGGUUUCUUAAUUUCUUCGGAAAUUUUGGAGCUUGUGAUCUGGAUCGUUUACUUUGAAAAAAUUAGAGUGUUCAAAGCAGACAUUUUGUCUCUGAAUACAUUAGCAUGGAAUAAUAAAGUAGGACUUUGAUUCUAUUUUGUUGGUUUGUGAAUCGAAGUAAUGAUUGAUAGGGAUAGUUGGGGGUGCUUGUAUUGAACGGGCCAGAGGUGAAAUUCUUGGAUUCGUUCAAGACAAACUACUGCGAAAGCAUUCACCAAGGAUGUCUUCUUUAAUCAAGAACGAAAGUUGGGGGAUCGAAGACGAUUAGAUUCCGUCGUA
rnacentral:rRNA from 1 species